ACCUCGCCGAAACCUCACUUCCAACUCCGAAGUCCUAACCCCACGAACCCCGAAGCCGAUCCAUGGCGGCGGCGGCGGGUUGGCUCCGGCGAGCGGCAUCAGCGGCGGCGUUGCCUCGCCUGCCUUCUGGAAUCACCCUCACGCCAAGCCUUCCCCCUCUGCUCUCUCCGAGGCUCAGCCGAUGUGCUCCCCGGCCUUGGCGCCGCCAUCGCCCCUGCUAUGGAACUCAUGGCCGUCCCCAAGAAGAAGAAGAAAUGGCGUUCACCUAAUUCUUAUUUGUUGCUGACAUGGACGCUUUGGGUAGAGGCCAGUGAAGAUUUCAUUAAUGCACCAUGUGUACAAUGUACAAUGCAAUUUGUGUCUCCUGCUACAUGUUUAUUUUUCUGCUGUUUAUGUCUUGGCAGAACUGAUUAGUUAUAAUUACUAUGAACAUUGUUGUGUAUGUUGUCAUACCAAGCCAAUUUGUAUCUAUGAACAUGGUGAUUUACCUUGAUCACUGAAUAAUGUAUAAUUAUGUUUAUGUAAAUUCAAUAUGUUUUAUCUA